rnacentral:rRNA from 1 species
GACGAACGCUGGCGGCGUGCCUAAUACAUGCAAGUCGAGCGAAGUUUUUCUGGUGCUUGCACUAGAAAAACUUAGCGGCGAACGGGUGAGUAACACGUAAAGAACCUGCCUCAUAGACUAGGACAACUAUUGGAAACGAUAGCUAAUACCGGAUAACAGCAUUAACUGCAUGGUUGAUGUUUAAAAGUUGGUUAUGCUAACACUAUGAGAUGGCUUUGCGGUGCAUUAGCUAGUUGGUGGGGUAAAGGCCCACCAAGGCGACGAUGCAUAGCCGACCUGAGAGGGUGAUCGGCCACACUGGGACUGAGACACGGCCCAGACUCCUACGGGAGGCAGCAGUAGGGAAUCUUCCGCAAUGGGCGAAAGCCUGACGGAGCAACGCCGCGUGAGUGAAGAAGGAUUUCGGUUCGUAAAGCUCUGUUGUUAGGGAAGAAUGGAUAUGUAGUAACUAUACAUGUAAGAGACGGUACCUAACCAGAAAGCCACGGCUAACUACGUGCCAGCAGCCGCGGUAAUACGUAGGUGGCAAGCGUUGUCCGGAAUUAUUGGGCGUAAAGCGCGCGCAGGUGGUUUAAUAAGUCUGAUGUGAAAGCCCACGGCUCAACCGUGGAGGGUCAUUGGAAACUGUUAAACUUGAGUGCAGGAGAGAAAAGUGGAAUUCCUAGUGUAGCGGUGAAAUGCGUAGAGAUUAGGAGGAACACCAGUGGCGAAAGCGGCUUUUUGGCCUGUAACUGACACUGAGGCGCGAAAGCGUGGGGAGCAAACAGG